UACGUAGGGUGCGAGCGUUAAUCGGAAUUACUGGGCGUAAAGCGUGCGCAGGCGGUUUUGUAAGCCAGAUGUGAAAUCCCCGGGCUUAACCUGGGAAUGGCAUUUGGGACUGCAAGGCUUGAGUGCGGCAGAGGAGACUGGAAUUCCUGGUGUAGCAGUGAAAUGCGUAGAUAUGCGGAGGAACACCGAUGGCGAAGGCAAUCCCCUGGACCUGUACUGACGCUCAUGCACGAAAGCGUGGGGAGCAAACAGG
rnacentral:rRNA from 1 species